CCUACGGGAGGCUGCAGUGGGGAAUAUUGGACAAUGGGGGCAACCCUGAUCCAGCCAUGCCGCGUGUGUGAAGAAGGCCCUCGGGUUGUAAAGCACUUUCAGUGAGGAAGAACGCCUGGUGGUUAAUACCCAUCAGGAAAGACAUCACUCACAGAAGAAGCACCGGCUAACUCCGUGCCAGCAGCCGCGGUAAUACGGAGGGUGCGAGCGUGAAUCGGAAUUACUGGGCGUAAAGCGCGCGUAGGUGGCUUGAUAAGCCGGUUGUGAAAGCCCCGGGCUCAACCUGGGAACGGCAUCCGGAACUGUCAAGCUAGAGUGCAGGAGAGGAAGGUAGAAUUCCCGGUGUAGCGGUGAAAUGCGUAGAGAUCGGGAGGAAUACCAGUGGCGAAGGCGGCCUUCUGGACUGACACUGACACUGAGGUGCGAAAGCGUGGGUAGCAAACAGGAUUAGAUACCCGGGUAGUC
rnacentral:rRNA from 1 species